AUGAACGCUAGCUACAGGCUUAACACAUGCAAGUCGAGGGGCAGCAUUUUAGUUUGCUUGCAAACUAAAGAUGGCGACCGGCGCACGGGUGAGUAACACGUAUCCAACCUGCCGAUAACUCGGGGAUAGCCUUUCGAAAGAAAGAUUAAUAUCCGAUAGUAUAUUAAAACCGCAUGGUUUUACUAUUAAAGAAUUUCGGUUAUCGAUGGGGAUGCGUUCCAUUAGUUUGUUGGCGGGGUAACGGCCCACCAAGACUACGAUGGAUAGGGGUUCUGAGAGGAAGGUCCCCCACAUUGGAACUGAGACACGGUCCAAACUCCUACGGGAGGCAGCAGUGAGGAAUAUUGGUCAAUGGACGAGAGUCUGAACCAGCCAAGUAGCGUGAAGGAUGACUGCCCUAUGGGUUGUAAACUUCUUUUAUAUGGGAAUAAAGUAUUCCACGUGUGGGAUUUUGUAUGUACCAUAUGAAUAAGGAUCGGCUAACUCCGUGCCAGCAGCCGCGGUAAUACGGAGGAUCCGAGCGUUAUCCGGAUUUAUUGGGUUUAAAGGGAGCGUAGGUGGAUUGUUAAGUCAGUUGUGAAAGUUUGCGGCUCAACCGUAAAAUUGCAGUUGAAACUGGCAGUCUUGAGUACAGUAGAGGUGGGCGGAAUUCGUGGUGUAGCGGUGAAAUGCUUAGAUAUCACGAAGAACUCCGAUUGCGAAGGCAGCUCACUAGACUGCAACUGACACUGAUGCUCGAAAGUGUGGGUAUCAAACAGGAUUAGAUACCCUGGUAGUCCACACAGUAAACGAUGAAUACUCGCUGUUUGCGAUAUACAGUAAGCGGCCAAGCGAAAGCAUUAAGUAUUCCACCUGGGGAGUACGCCGGCAACGGUGAAACUCAAAGGAAUUGACGGGGGCCCGCACAAGCGGAGGAACAUGUGGUUUAAUUCGAUGAUACGCGAGGAACCUUACCCGGGCUUAAAUUGCAUUUGAAUAAUCUGGAAACAGGUUAGCCGCAAGGCAAAUGUGAAGGUGCUGCAUGGUUGUCGUCAGCUCGUGCCGUGAGGUGUCGGCUUAAGUGCCAUAACGAGCGCAACCCUUAUCUUUAGUUACUAACAGGUCAUGCUGAGGACUCUAGAGAGACUGCCGUCGUAAGAUGUGAGGAAGGUGGGGAUGACGUCAAAUCAGCACGGCCCUUACGUCCGGGGCUACACACGUGUUACAAUGGGGGGUACAGAAGGCAGCUACCUGGCGACAGGAUGCUAAUCCCAAAAACCUCUCUCAGUUCGGAUCGAAGUCUGCAACCCGACUUCGUGAAGCUGGAUUCGCUAGUAAUCGCGCAUCAGCCAUGGCGCGGUGAAUACGUUCCCGGGCCUUGUACACACCGCCCGUCACACCAUGGGAGUUGGAUAUGCCCGAAGUCAGUGACCCAACCGUAAGGAGGGAGCUGCCGAAGGUGGAGCCGAUAACUGGGGUG
rnacentral:rRNA from 1 species